AGAGUUUGAUCCUGGCUCAGGAUGAACGCUGGCGGCGUGCUUAACACAUGCAAGUCGAGCGAAGCACAUCUGUUGAUUCUUCGGGUGAUUCAGCUGUGACUGAGCGGCGGACGGGUGAGUAACGCGUGGGUAACCUGCCUCAUACAGGGGGAUAACAGUUGGAAACGACUGCUAAUACCGCAUAAGCGCACAGCAUCGCAUGAUGCAGUGUGAAAAACUCCGGUGGUAUGAGAUGGACCCGCGUUAGAUUAGCUUGUUGGUGGGGUAACGGCCUACCAAGGCGACGAUCUAUAGCCGGACUGAGAGGUCGAACGGCCACAUUGGGACUGAGACACGGCCCAAACUCCUACGGGAGGCAGCAGUGGGGAAUAUUGCACAAUGGGGGAAACCCUGAUGCAGCGACGCCGCGUGAGCGAAGAAGUAUUUCGGUAUGUAAAGCUCUAUCAGCAGGGAAGAAAAUGACGGUACCUGACUAAGAAGCCCCGGCUAACUACGUGCCAGCAGCCGCGGUAAUACGUAGGGGGCAAGCGUUAUCCGGAUUUACUGGGUGUAAAGGGAGCGUAGACGGCAAGGUAAGUCUGAAGUGAAAUGCCGGGGCUCAACCCCGGAACUGCUUUGGAAACUAUCUCGCUCGAGUACCGGAGGGGUAAGCGGAAUUCCUAGUGUAGCGGUGAAAUGCGUAGAUAUUAGGAGGAACACCAGUGGCGAAGGCGGCUUACUGGACGGUAACUGACGUUGAGGCUCGAAAGCGUGGGGAGCAAACAGGAUUAGAUACCCUGGUAGUCCACGCCGUAAACGAUGA
rnacentral:rRNA from 1 species